ACCUGGGUGGCUCAGUCGGUUGAGCGUCUGACUUCGGCUCAGGUCACGAUCUCACGGUUCGUGAGUUCGAGCCCCGCAUCAGGCU
rnacentral:tRNA from 1 species